rnacentral:rRNA from 1 species
GACGAACGCUGGCGGCGUGCUUAACACAUGCAAGUCGAGCGGUAAGGCCCUUUCGGGGGUACACGAGCGGCGAACGGGUGAGUAACACGUGGGUGACCUGCCCUCAGCUCUGGGAUAAGCCUGGGAAACUGGGUCUAAUACUGGAUAUGACUCCACGGUGCAUGUCGUGGGGUGGAAAGCCUUGUGCGGCUGAGGAUGGGCCCGCGGCCUAUCAGCUUGUUGGUGGGGUGAUGGCCUACCAAGGCGACGACGGGUAGCCGGCCUGAGAGGGCGACCGGCCACACUGGGACUGAGACACGGCCCAGACUCCGUACGGGAGGCAGCAGGUGGGGAAUCUUGCGCAAGUGGGACGAAAGCCUGACGCAGCGACGCCGCGUGAGGGAUGACGGCCU